rnacentral:rRNA from 1 species
AUACGUAGGGGGCAAGCGUUAUCCGGAUUUACUGGGUGUAAAGGGAGCGUAGACGGUUUGGCAAGUCUGAUGUGAAAGCCCGGGGCUCAACCGCGGGACUGCAUUGGAAACUGGUAGACUUGAGUGCGGUAGAGGUAAGUGGAAUUCCAAGUGGAGCGGUGGAAUGCGUAGAUAUUUGGAGGAACACCAGUGGCGAAGGCGGCUUACUGGGCCGUUACUGACGCUGAGGCACGAAAGCGUGGGGAGCAAACAGGAUUAGAUACCCUGGUAGUCCACGCCGUAAACGAUGAGCACUAAGUGUCGGAUGAAUUUUCGGCGCUGCAGUUAACACAAUAAGUGCUCCGCCUGGGGAGUACGGUCGCAAGACUGAAACUUAAAUGAAUUGGCGGGG